ensembl:lncRNA
CGGUUUAGAAGAAUUGUCGAUCGCCGUCCCAAAAAAAGAAAGAAAAUUCACCAAAGAAAAGUUCCGUCUUGAACUCGGCGCCUCCCUCUACAGUCGCAUUUGGUCUUAGCCCCCAAAAUCACAAUCAGAAACCAACUGGCCCAAAUAUUUCAACAUGAAGUCAUUUUGUUUUAAUUGCUUGCAGCUUGAAGCGAAGGAACAAAACAGAUCCAGUGGGUUUUAUAAUAUGCAGACAUUACAUUUAUGAAAAUAUAUAUGUAUGAAUAGAUAACAAAGGAGGCCGGAUCCUUUGGAAGCAUUUGAAGCUCGUAGAUCAAAGUGACUUUUUAACGUUUUUGUGGCUCCGAUUCCACCAACGGACGGCGUUUGUGAUGCGCUACGGUUUCUCCCGAGCGGCCUCGGGCCGUUUCCUCGCGAACGUUGUCGCUGAUGAGGAACGCAGGCGGCUGAAACGCUCAGCUGGUUUCACGUGGCGAGGCGGCUCCAGAUCUCACAGCUUUUCAUUUUCUAAUUUGAAUAAACGCUCAUAUAUAUAUAUAUAUAUAUAUAUAACGGAGAGACAAUUAGCAUGCAAGUGUGCAGCUCAAAACAAAACAAAGUCUAGUUCAGUGUUCGACACACUGUUUGUCUGCACCAAAGAGAAAAGAGAGAAGUCAGAUGAAUUUAGUAUAAUCGCCUCGUAAAAGCGGAGUACAGAGGUAUUUUUAGCUUUUCUUCCUGCCACCGUUUAUCUGUGCUUCAUAAGCCGGAGCAUUUCAUGCAGCUUCUGAAUGAGUCGCACAAUGGGCUCCACUGAACGCACGGAGACAGUCGUAAUCCUUCUUCGUGAAAAAGGAUGUUUGGAUGCUUUUCAGAUAAGAGAGAGACUCUGUGGCUCAUAAUCCCUCUCGUGCACACUUUACAUUGUGGGGGAGGUAUGGAGGUCUUCAUAAAGUAUCACGGUGUUCUUCCAUAUUUACGAUGUAUCCGAAGGACUGAAGGUGAGACGGAAACCGGGAUUCAUCCCUCUGAAGAACGUCUCAGCUGAGCGCGUUGGUUUCGGGCCUCUUUGGUGGGUCAGCCGGCUCUGGAGGUUUUCUGCCCCCUGGCGGAGAAGGUCAAUGUGUAAAAACGCAGCACACUAAGCUAUUGUUCUACAUUGUGAAUUGAACUGACAUUCAUCUGGUAAUGAAAAACGUAGUCACAUAAAACCUUAAACUCUUCUCGCCCCUGAUGAACAUCUGUUUUCAGUUCACUCUUUUAUUGCGCGUAAUUAUAAAUCUACGCACAUCUGAGACACAGCGCCUGCUGCCCGUCAGCGGCACAGUCGUUUCUCCCCCCCUCCCCCCCGACCCGCCUCCCUCCCUCCCGCUCACUCCAACAGGAGCGAAACAGCCGUAAACUGUGAACGAGGUGUAUUAGUGGCCCCCACGUGGAGGGAGAAGUAGGUCGCGCCGCCUUGUCAGAUCGUUUUAAACGCCACGUGGCAACAGGAGAUGAAAAAGGACCACCGCCCAAGCAUUAGUCACCCCCGCAAGCUGCUGCGUUGUGCGCUUUCUUUCCCCCGCUUGGGAACAUGAUGUCGACGAGGCAGUUUAACUGGGGAGACGGCGUUUUUUUUCUUCGUCGUAUCAGGAACACGAUUCCUGGCGGGGGGGGAAGUCGGACAAACCGGGUCGAACAAACACAGGACUUUCCCCCAGGAGGCCGCUGUUGGUGUCCCGCGUGAAGCAUACUCGCUUUAAGGCGUCGACCCACGAACGAACGGAACCGGCUGAGAAGAAGCAGCAGAUUUACCACCUGGGAGAAAACAGGGCCUCAUCCGGAACUAUCCGCAGGCCACCAUUGAUGCUCAAGGGGGCGCUACGCAGUACUAGAACCAAUGGAAUGCAGAUGAACCCCAUUAAAAAUGAACCAUGCGUUCCUUUGUGAAUAGUACACAUCUCACAGAAUGUGUAAAGGCGAGCGUGACGUUACAUCUGUGGUCGGAGAGACUUGCCAUUAACCUUUGAGAGAAAAACCCCUCCAGCCGGACUGCCCACCUUCCUACACACCCACCGAGCAAGGAACAUUUUUACAUGUUUGAACAGCCCUGGGUGGCGUGUUAAGACCAGUGUUUAUUCGAAUAAUGCCCCAGAAAACAGGGACAUUAUUCAACUGGAAACAGUGCAAAUGCAACAUUAAUCCUCCCGUUGUGAAAGGUUAAAAUCAAGUAAAGGCCACAGCUUAAAUACAUAAACAUAGCACAUUAUCACACGGCGGGCGAGGCAGAGUACGGUGGUGAGGAAAAAGGGGAACAAGAGUCAUUAUCACUUGCGUUGCAUUUUUAAUAAUUGAAGUUACGGACUUUUCGGUUCUGGGGUGAAGUAAAGUAAUUGGUUUUGCUGGAAUUCUGGGUUUAAACCUGCUUGAAAGGGGCUAUUUGUGACUGCAAUUAUAAUAAAAGCCUUGUUUUUAUGUAAAGUUGAUUCUCUCGGGUGGCGGUUUUGUCAUUUUGUUGAUGGAUUGCAAUAUAUUGCAGCAUUGAAAAGAAAGUGAGAGAAUUUGAUGGGAUAGUGCAAUCAUCUGUGGAUGAUCUUUGCUCACAUAUAGGCUGAUACAAAACGCAUACUAAGAACAUCCUAACACAUUGUUUACAUCUCAACGGGACUUGAGCGGACGCCGACGUUGAACCCUUGGCGGAAAUGAGAGAUCCUCAUGGCAAACUCAUUAUUGGGAAACCAGCACACACGUCGCACCCUUGAAGGUAUGAAACACAAUCACGAAACAGCGGAGGCAGCCGGUCUGGAGUGUGAGCUGCAGCGGCCGUGAAUCCAUUGAGUUUCAUUAAAUCCAGUUAGCGCUGUUGGACAGCUUGCACAUUAGUAAUUGGAUUUAUUUACGACUCCAGAGCAGAAGGCAGAUGGUCGGACAGCCUGAGGCCGAGAUGCAGCUUCACUGCAGAGGAUUAAUGGAUGACACCCAAAUCAGGGCAAAGUGAGAAAAAUACAAUAGCAAUUGCAUUGCUGAAUAUUCAUAAGGACAGUUGUUCUAUUUGCUUUGGAAUGUACUGCCCAUAGGACAUCGGAAGAAAUUCUCUAAUUGCUUCUUCAUGUCAUCGUCUUAAAUAGAAGCCGGUAUUUGGGACUGAUGAUGAAACGGGAAUAAAGCACAAGCAGAUUGCAGAGCUGGCUUUAGCCCUGGUACAAUAUAGAAAGAUAAAGAGAGGAUAAAGGGGGGUGGGGGGGGUAGGCCUGCAGUGGGACUGUAUUGCAUGAGCUAUCAGUGUGUAAAUGCCACCCCCCCCCUCCAAUAAACCCCCCCCUCCAACCUCACGGGAAGUGUGGUUGAAAACACAUCUGUCAGGGAAUAACAUCCACACCUCUGGUGACUGAGCUGUUAAUUGGACUUGGGGUGUGAGUGUAAGCGACGCAUCAGCAAAUCUCUGGAGCUGCGCCUUGCUUUCUUCUCAGAAGACGGCGGCGUGCGUUAGGAGGAGGAGAAGGAAGAGCAGGAGCAGGAGACGAGCCCUCUGUGAGCUAUUUGUUGCACACGUGGGGGGGGGGGGGUUUGCUCGUGUGAAGGCAGGACGGGCCGACUGUUCCCCAGCCAGAUGCUGGACAUUUAAUCAAACCAGUCGCUGGGUCUGAGGCGUGCAUCCAAAGUCCAAACACGAUUCCCUUCCCAUUGCAUCCAUAACGGGAGUGAGUGCCGCCUGUCGUCCACCGGGACGCGCCGAGCUCCUCCCUCAGGUCGUUAGAUCGCCGCUUUGCCGCGACAGCAGCUCUCACGCGCUGUCACGGCUUUCCACAGGGCCCUCGACUGGGUUCCCUCCCAUUCCACACACACACACACACACACACACACACACACACACACACAUCGCGUGUCUGAUCCCCGGAGGCGUUAAUCCGAGAGUCACAGCUUCCUUUUUUAGCUCUUUGUGUUUUCAUUUGGGACGCGGCCGUGUGAACUGUUGGAGAUCGUUGCUUCCUUCAUCUUUUUGGUGCCUUUAAGAAAGAAGCCACAUCUUCUGCGUCUGACCCCAGGUGACCUCCUGUUGAAGCCCAGUCUGUUUCAGGGCAAUGAGACAAGCAAAGGUUUUAUUCACCUUGAUAUUUUUGAGGAACCGUCUACAGAUCAUCAUUUUUACAUUUUGGGAAGAAAGUCAUACUCUCUUGAAAAUAGGCCGGCAUAUUUGUAUUUUACCUUAACUUUAAAGAAACAACUACCUGGUAGAGACAAUUUGAGUAUGACUUAUUGGCCUUUAAAAUAAAUGGUUUGAUAUUUUGUGCAAGGCCUUUAAAUACAGUAUUUCUCUGGCUUUUAUUGUGAAAGCUUUGCGCUGCCUCCUUUGACAUCUAAUGGAGAAAUGAUUGUUGCCAUCGUGUUUUUGUGCCACGGAGCCUCAGAGUGGUUUCAUAAAUACAGGCACAAUUCAUCUGUCAAUAAGUGGCUUUGCUUCCUGCGCCUUCUUCACCUUCUGUGUUUACACAAGACAAAAACAUCUGGUUUAGAAUAAAAGAAACGUACACUCAGCUUUAUAUAUGGAGCCAGAACCCGGAGGGGGAAUGCCAGUUAAUGUCACAUUUCUAAAUUCUAAAUGUCACAAAUCUAAAUUUGAGAUAAUUAUGGGGGAGAUUUGUAGCCAUGGCAACUUUAACUUGCGUCACCGCCUGCAGACUUCUUCUGUCAUCAGUGGAGUUGAGCUCAUUUGGCGGCGUGGCAUCGGUAUUGAGCUCUUUUGGAGAAAUGUCAUUGGUAUUGAGCUCUUUUGGAGAAAUGUCAUUGGUAUUGAGCGCUUUUGGAGGCGUGUCAUCGGUGUUGAGCUCUUUUGGAGGCGUGUCAUCAGUGUUGAGCUCAUUUGGAGGCGUGUCAUCGGUGUCGCGCUCAUUUGUCAUCGGCGUUGAGCUCAUUUGGAGGCGUGUCAUUGGUGAAAUUGAGCUAAUUUGGAGGCGUGUCGUCAGUGUUGAGCUCAUUUGGAGGCAUGUCAUCAGUCAAGCCUCAAAUGAGCGGAGCUUACGAGCAAUUAAGAAUCUUUCAAGGAAUCUUUCUUUGAUUCCUUCCCAACUCGCCGCUCAAGAUUAAGCGUUGCUUUUUCUGUCAUAGAGCUGUAACACAACAGCACAUCUUGUCAAAUCAGACUAAUCCCUCCUCAGGGCUGCUCCCCUCUGACAAUCCACCUUGAUCACAUAAUGAUCAUCCGCUCUCCAGUGGUGAACGCUGAGGGGGGGGGUACGCUUCCCGCCGCCAAGCCGGCUCGCUGCCAGCGCCACGCUGGGGACGAUUUUUAUGUUGUGUUGUCCUGGAAAUGAAUCAGAUUUUAGAUGACGUUCUCCCAGAAAAAUGAAAUUCUCCAGCCUCAAAAUGUGGCUCGGUGCCGCCGUGCAGAGGAGACGGGGACACUCUGCGUGGUCUUCAGGUCCGCGUGUCCUCCUCGGAGGAGACAAACGUUGCGCUCUUCUUUCUGUUGUUUGGUACAUUAACCAACAGCCCGGGCUUAGAAAUUCCUCUGCAAAAAGACAAAUAUAGACAAUAUUCUCCUUUUGUUCCCUAACGUCACAAAACCUUUUUUCUAGCAUCUCGCCUUUUCUUCCUCACCGAUGCACAAGCCUCUGCGGUCCCACCUUUGAUUGGCCAACAAUCAGCACUAUAUUUCUGUGCCGUCUCGCCCGGCAGACACUUUCGAGGUGUCAUUAUAGACGUAAUUUUCUCCCAACAAAAAGCACUAAAUGAGAGCGUGACAGCAGCUCCCGGUGACCAUUCUGGUUCUCUAAUGGAAGAAGGGAUUCGACUCGGUAUUGAAUUUCAUCACCGGCCUUCAUUUCAACCAACCCUAUAGCAUGAAUAUAAUAUCUUCAUCUGGGGAGUCAAUUGAACAUCGUGUAGAGUUCCAGCAUCUAGAGGGUGCAGACAUUCAUGCAUGUAUCAUGGAUAUCUUUUAUCUCAAGGAAUAUCUCCCUCGUGUCCAAUAGAGACACAUAGUCACAAUAAUCUGGUGUAACGAGUUGGGAACAAUUAGUAUUCAUGAUGCAAUGAGGCAUGAUGUAAAUUCCGGAGAAGCCUCACGGGUCCUCGUUGCAUCUCUUGUACUUCAUUCUAAGUCCAAAGUGUUCAAAGUGUUUGGCUCAAUCUUCUAUUCCACAGGUGUCGCUCCGCAGAGCGCACCAUGGUUUUAAUCCAUGUUUGGAUCCGCUUCGAACAGCCAUUGAACGAAAGCGUAAUAUAAAUGCAGAGCCUGGUUUGGAUCAUAGAGCAAAAAGAAGUCUCCCCAGUUGAAUGGCCGCCGCCUGCGUGAAUCCUCAAUCUGCAGCAACACGGAACCGAGAUCUUCCCGCCGGCUACGAUUGACGCCGAACUCGGCCUCCACCUCCACGGAGCCGCCAAUCAAACACUCGUUACAGGAAGAACCGGAGUACGAGCUGAUGUAAAUGCAAAGAUAAGAAGCACCCGGGAGGCCGGCGGAGACGGAAUGUAAGCGAUGAUAUCGCAGCGGCGAUGAAAAAGCUUCUUGAAGAACCGGAGGAGUCGAUCAUGAACGAUGGAGCGUGACUGACAUCAGUGACACCAUUUUCCUUCUCCCCCCCGAGUCUUUAAAAAGUGACACUCAUCGGCACAAACUAGGGAGGGGGAGACGUUUAAGCUUUGCGCCGUUAUUCGUCCGGUCGACGGCCUUUUGAGCAGUUUUUACUCUUUGCAGCCUUUGUCCAGAGAGAACAAACUUUAUCAGCUCAUAGAGA